GAUGAAGAACGUAGCGAAAUGCGAUAAGUAAUGUGAAUUGCAGAAUUCAGUGAAUCAUCGAAUCUUGAACGCACAUUGCGCCCCCUGGUAUUCCGGGGGGCAUGUCUGUCCGAGCGUCAUUACAACCCUCAAGCUCAGCUUGGUAUUGGGCCCCGCCGACCCGGCGGGCCCUAAAGUCAGUGGCGGUGCCGUCCGGCUCCGAGCGUAGUAAUUCUUCUCGCUCUGGAGGUCCGGUCGUGUGCUCGCCAGCAACCCCCAAUUUUUUUCAGGUUGACCUCGGAUCAGGUAGGGAUACCCGCUGAACUUAAGCAUAUCAAUAAGCGGAGGA
rnacentral:misc_RNA from 1 species